GACGAACGCUGGCGGCGUGCUUAACACAUGCAAGUCGAACGGAAAGGCCCUGCUUUUGUGGGGUGCUCGAGUGGCGAACGGGUGAGUAACACGUGAGUAACCUGCCCUUGACUUUGGGAUAACUUCAGGAAACUGGGACUAAUACCGGAUAGGAGCUCCUGCUGCAUGGUGGGGGUUGGAAAGUUUCGGCGGUUGGGGAUGGACUCGCGGCUUAGCAGCUUGUUGGUGGGGUAGUGGCUUACCAAGGCUUUGACGGGUAGCCGGCCUGAGAGGGUGACCGGCCACAUUGGGACUGAGAUACGGCCCAGACUCCUACGGGAGGCAGCAGUGGGGAAUAUUGCACAAUGGGCGGAAGCCUGAUGCAGCAACGCCGCGUGCGGGAUGACGGCCUUCGGGUUGUAAACCGCUUUCGCCUGUGACGAAGCGUGAGUGACGGUAAUGGGUAAAGAAGCACCGGCUAACUACGUG
rnacentral:rRNA from 1 species